rnacentral:rRNA from 1 species
AAUGAACGCUGGCGGCAUGCCUAACACAUGCAAGUCGAACGGUAACGCCCUGCGGAGUACCCCAGAGGCGGACGGCGGGGUGACGCGUAGGCACACACUCUGCAUUCCGCGAUAAGACGGCGGAUAAUGUUGGAAAACCUCAUCCGGUCUACGGUUUAACGCAUUUGUGUGCUCAAGGAGUGGCCUGCGUCGUUUUAGAUAGUUGGGCCGGUAAUGGCUCACCAAGGCGACGAUGUAUAGCUGGUCUGAGAGGAUGAUCAGCCAGACUGGAACUGAGACACGGUCCAGACUCCUACGGGAGGCAGCAGUGGGGAAUAUUGCACAAUGGGCGAAAGCUUGAUGGAGCAAUGCCGCGUGAGGGAUGAAGGCCCUAGGGUUGUAAAGUGCUUUUAUACGGGAAGAUUAUGACGGUACCUGAUGAAUAAGCGCCGGCUAACUACGUG